rnacentral:lncRNA from 1 species
UGGUAGAGGGGUGAACAGGCCGUGGCUCGGGUGGCUGAGGUCCUUGAUGAUCUUCUAGAUGGUAGCAGGGUGAACAGGCCGUGGCUCGGGUGGCUGAGGUCCUUGAUGAUCUUCUAGAUGGUAGAGGGGUGAACAGGCUGUGGCUCGGGGUGGCUGAGGUCCUUGAUGAUCUUCUAGAUGGUAGAGGGGUGAACAGGCUGUGGCUCGGGGUGGCUGAGGUCCUUGAUUAUCUUCUAGAUGGUAGCGGGGUGAACAGGCUGUGGCUUGGGGUGGCUGAGGUCCUUGAUGAUCUUCUAGAUGGUAGAGGGGUGAACAGGCUGUGGCUCGGGGUGGCUGAGGUCCUUGAUGAUCUUCUAGAUGGUAGCGGGGUGAACAGGCUGUGGCUCGGGGUGGCUGAGGUCCUUGAUGAUCUUCUAGAUGGUAGCGGGGUGAACAGGCUGUGGCUCGGGGUGGCUGAGGUCCUUGAUGAUCUUCUAGAUGGUAGCGGGGUGAACAGGCUGUGGCUCGGGGUGGCUGAGGUCCUUGAUGAUCUUCUAGAUGGUAGAGGGGUGAACAGGCCGUGGCUCGGGUGGCUGAGGUCCUUGAUGAUCUUCUAGAUGGUAGCAGGGUGAACAGGCCGUGGCUCGGGGUGGCUGAGGUCCUUGAUGAUCUUCUAGAUGGUAGAGGGGUGAACAGGCCGUGGCUCGGGGUGCCUGAGGUCAUUGAUGAUCUUGAUUUUGUGCCUUGCGAACUCCGCCUCCAGCAAGAGAUCAACCUCUGACAGUGUGCCAGAAGAAACGGGAGGAUGGAGCCAAAAGAAAUGGACGGUGAGUGGAUCUAAACUCAUGGAGCUUUUCCAAACCUGCC